rnacentral:rRNA from 1 species
CUACGGGCCGCUCCAGUGGGGAAUAUUGGACAAUGGGGGAAACCCUGAUCCAGCAAUGCCGCGUGUGUGAAGAAGGCCUGCGGGUUGUAAAGCACUUUCGGUUGGGAGGACUGCUUCUAGCACUAAUAUUGUUGGAAGUUGACGUUACCUUCAGAAGAAGCACCGGCUAACUCCGUGCCAGCAGCCGCGGUAAUACGGAGGGUGCAAGCGUUAAUCGGAAUUACUGGGCGUAAAGCGCGCGUAGGCGGCUAGAUCAGUCGGGUGUGAAAGCCCCGGGCUUAACCUGGGAACUGCAUCCGAUACUGUCUAGCUUGAGUACAGGAGAGGAGAGUGGAAUUCCACACGUAGCGGUGAAAUGCGUAGAUAUGUGGAGGAACACCAAUGGCGAAGGCAGCUCUCUGGCCUGAUACUGACGCUGAGGUGCGAAAGCGUGGAGAGCAAACAGGAUUAGAUACCCUUGUAGUC